rnacentral:rRNA from 1 species
CUUUUUGAGAGUUUGAUCCUGGCUCAGGAUGAACGCUGGCGGCGUGGCUAAGGCAUGCAAGUCGAAUGCGCCCUGCUUCAACAAUUAACACUUAACUAUUAACUUUUUACUUACAAAGAUAAUUAAAAAUUAAUAGUUAAUUGUUAAAAGUUAAAAGUUAAUUGUUGAAGCAGGGCGCAUGGCAAACGGGAGAGUAACACAUUGGUAACAUACCUUGAGGACGAGCAUAACCCGGAGAAAUCCGGAGUAAUACUCGAUAAUAGCGGGGGGUCAAAAGACAUUCCCGCUUAAAGUUCCGGCGCCUCAAGAGUGGCCUAUGGCCUAUCAGCUUGUUGGUGAGGUAAAAGCUCACCAAGGCGACGAUCAGUAGCUGGUCUG